AAGGGAGGUCGAAAGCUCAGCCUGAUCCAGCCAUACCGCGUGGGUGAAGAAGGCCUUCGGGUUGUAAAGCCCUUUUGUUGGGAAAGAAAAGCAUUCGGUUAAUACCCGGGUGUUCUGACGGUACCCAAAGAAUAAGCACCGGCUAACUUCGUGCCAGCAGCCGCGGUAAUACGAAGGGUGCAAGCGUUACUCGGAAUUACUGGGCGUAAAGCGUGCGUAGGUGGUGGUUUAAGUCCGUUGUGAAAGCCCUGGGCUCAACCUGGGAAUUGCAGUGGAUACUGGGUCACUCGAGUGUGGUAGAGGAUAGUGGAAUUUCCGGUGUAGCAGUGAAAUGCGUAGAGAUCGGAAGGAACAUCUGUGGCGAAGGCGACUAUCUGGGCCAACACUGACACUGAGGCACGAAAGCGUGGGGAGCAAACAGGAUUAGAUACCCUGGUAGUCCACGCCCUAAACGAUGCGAACUGGAUGUUGGGUUCAACUUGGAACCCAGUAUCGAAGCUAACGCGUUAAGUUCGCCGCCUGGGGAGUACGGUCGCAAGACUGAAACUCAAAGGAAAAUUGACGGA
rnacentral:rRNA from 1 species